ACCAGGAUGGCCGAGUGAUUAAGGGGUUGGACUUAAAAUCCAAUAGACGUGAGUCUGCGUGGGUUCAAGUCCCACUCCUGGUA